GUCUUCUUGAAUAUAUAAGAAGUCUGACCUGCCCGGUGAAUAAGUAUUUAACGGCCGCGGUAUUUUGACCGUGCAAAGGUAGCAUAAUCAUUAGUCUUUUAAUAGAGGGCUGGAAUGAAGGGUUUGACGAAAUGUUUACUGUCUCAUUUAAUUUGGAAUUUGAAUUUAACUUUUUAGUUAAAAGGCUAAAUUGUUGUUGGAAGACGAGAAGACCCUAUAGAGCUUUAUAUUUUAAAAUUUAAAAGAUUUUUGGUGAAUUACUAUUUUUUAAAUGGAGAAUUAUUUUGUUGGGGUGACAAGAAUACAUAAUAAACUUUUUUAUUUUAAUAACAUUGAUUUAUGAUUAUUAGAUCCAUUAUUAUUGAUUGAUAGAGAAAGUUACCUUAGGGAUAACAGCGUAAUCUUCCUUCAGAGUUCAAAUUUACAGGAAGGCUUGCGACCUCGAUGUUGGAUUAAGAUAAUAAUUAGGUGUAGCCGCUUAAUUAAUAGGUCUGUUCGACCUUUAAAUUCUU
rnacentral:rRNA from 1 species